rnacentral:rRNA from 1 species
ACAAUAAGCAAAAUAAGGGCGUAUGGGGGAUGCCUAGGCUUCUGCAGGCGAGGAAGGACGUGAUAAGCUGCGAUAAGCUUCGGGGAGCGGCACACACGCAUUGAUCCGAAGAUUUCCGAAUGGGGCAACCCAGUACAUUGAAGAUGUAUUACCCAGAUAUGGGGGCGAACGCGCUGAACUGAAACAUCUAAGUAGGCGCAGGAGAAGAAAACAAAAGUGAUUCCGUAAGUAGUGGCGAGCGAACGCGGAUUAGCCCAAACCAGACAUGUUACGGCAUGUGUGGGGUUGUAGGACCACGACAUUGUAUGUAAACUGAACCGGAAGCCUCUGGAAAGUGGCACCAUAGGGGGUGAUAGUCCCGUACGGGUAAGGAAUAUAAUACAUAGUGGUAUCCUGAGUAGGGCGGGGCACGUGAAACCCUGUCUGAAUCUGCCGGGACCAUCCGGUAAGGCUAAAUACUCGCAGAAGACCGAUAGUGAACCAGUACCGUGAGGGAAAGGUGAAAAGAACCGUGAAUAACGGAGUGAAACAGAUCCUGAAACCAUACGCCUACAAGCGGUCGGAGCCCUUU